rnacentral:rRNA from 1 species
UGCAGUCGAGCGAAUGGAUUAAGAGCUUGCUCUUAUGAAGUUAGCGGCGGACGGGUGAGUAACACGUGGGUAACCUGCCCAUAAGACUGGGAUAACUCCGGGAAACCGGGGCUAAUACCGGAUAACAUUUUGAACUGCAUGGUUCGAAAUUGAAAGGCGGCUUCGGCUGUCACUUAUGGAUGGACCCGCGUCGCAUUAGCUAGUUGGUGAGGUAACGGCUCACCAAGGCAACGAUGCGUAGCCGACCUGAGAGGGUGAUCGGCCACACUGGGACUGAGACACGGCCCAGACUCCUACGGGAGGCAGCAGUAGGGAAUCUUCCGCAAUGGACGAAAGUCUGACGGAGCAACGCCGCGUGAGUGAUGAAGGCUUUCGGGUCGUAAAACUCUGUUGUUAGGGAAGAACAAGUGCUAGUUGAAUAAGCUGGCACCUUGACGGUACCUAACCAGAAAGCCACGGCUAACUACGUGCCAGCAGCCGCGGUAAUACGUAGGUGGCAAGCGUUAUCCGGAAUUAUUGGGCGUAAAGCGCGCGCAGGUGGUUUCUUAAGUCUGAUGUGAAAGCCCACGGCUCAACCGUGGAGGGUCAUUUGGAAAACUGGGAGACUUGAGUGCAGAAGAGGAAAGUGGAAUUCCAUGUGUAGCGUAGAAA